CCCUUAGAUGUUCUGGGUCGCACGCGUGUUACACUGAGUGGAUCAGCGGGUCAGGUUGCGCGAAAGCGUUUCCUAAUCUUUAAAUCCGCUCGUGAUGGGGAUUGACGGUUGCAAUUUUCUGUCAUGAACGAGGAAUACCUUGUAAGCGCGGGUCAUCAUCCCGCGCUGAAUACGUCCCUGCCCUUUGUACACACCGCCCGUCGCUCCUACCGAUUGAGUGGUCCGGUGAGGCUUUGGGAUCUGAGCGGAAAGAGCGUUUCGCUGUUUCUGCUCGGAAAACUCAGUCGAACCUUAUCAUUUAGAGGAAGGAGAAGUCGUAACA
rnacentral:rRNA from 1 species